rnacentral:ncRNA from 1 species
UGGUCCUAGCCUUGUAAUCAAUUGUUACUUAAUAUACACAUGCAAGUCUCCGCACCCCUGUGAAAACGCCCUUCAAACCCCACUAGGGAAAAGGAGCUGGUAUCAGGCACAAAUAUUAGCCCAAGACACCUAGCUAUGCCACACCCACACGGGAAUUCAGCAGUGAUUAACAUUGAGAAUAAGUGUUAACUUGACUCAGUUAAAGUAAAGAAGGCCGGCAAAUCUGGUGCCAGCCGCCGCGGUUACACCACGAGGCCCAAAUUGAUUUCUUCCGGCGUAAAGCGUGAUUAAAGUUACACAAAAUUAUAGUUAAACUAAAACUAAGCUGUGACACGCUUGUAUUUAGGAAAAUCAAAAGCGAAAGCUACUAUAAUUAAAACGACUUGAACUCACGACAGUUGAGACCCAAACUGGGAUUAGAUACCCCACUAUGCUCAGCCGUAAACUUUAAAUUACAUCUACAUCGCCAGGGAACUACGAGCAAAGCUUAAAACCCAAAGGACUUGACGGUACCCCACAUCCACCUAGAGGAGCCUGUCCUAUAAUCGAUAACCCCCGUUUAACCUCACCAUUUUUAGCCUAUCAGCCUGUAUACCUCCGUCGUCAGCUUACCACGUGAGCGAAAUUUAGUGAGCUUAAUGCCCAUACGCCAAAACGUCAGGUCAAGGUGCAGCAAAUAAAAUGGGAAGAGAUGGGCUACACUCUCUAUCUUAGAAAAUACGAAAGACUAUUUAUGAAACCUAGUCAGAAGGCGGAUUUAGAAGUAAAAAGAGACAAGAGAGCUCUUUUUAACACGGCACUGGGGUGUGUACACACCGCCCGUCACCCUCUUCAAAGCUAACAGAAAGUACUUAACACACUAAAGCGCCAAAGAAGAGGCAAGUCGUAACAUGGUAAGUAUACCGGAAGGUGUGCUUGGAAA